GUACCAAUACCAUGCAGUUUUUAUCACUAUUGCUCUGUUAUACUGCUUGAGUUCAGGGACAGUGAUUCCCCCAGAAAUUCUUUCAUUGUUGAGGACAGUUUUAGCUAUCCUGUGUUAUUUGUUAAUCCAGAUGAAUUUUCAAAUUGUUCUGUCUAAGUCUUUGAGGAAUUGGAUUGGUAUUUUGAUGGGGAUUGCAUUGAAUCUAUAGAAGGCUUUUUGUAAAAUGGCCAUUUUUACUAUAUUAAU
rnacentral:lncRNA from 1 species